CUCCCCUCUUUUUUUAUCUGACAGUGUUCUCUCCUAAAUAGCGCUGUCUCCCACUACAGUUGUGGUCUCUCCAAUGACGGCGACACUCCCUCCCGACGACGGCCUCUCUCUACACUCCACGGUCUCUUCCUCCCGACCUCUUUCUUCUCCAAUCGCGCUCUCUCCCGAUGCUCGGCUUUCUUCUUCCCUCUCGACUCGUGACCGAUAAGCAAUUGCACUACUCUCUCGUCUAAUCUUCCAUCAACGACUCACUUCCACACUUCGCUCUGCUCAAAGCUGUCUCGCUUUUCAGGGGUGGUUCCUGCAAAACGGAGAAGCAGUCGCUCUGCUUUCUUGUAUAAUUUUUAAUCGCUUCCACACUCAGCUCGGCUCAAAGUCGUCCCUCUCGAGAAGCCCUAAAUCUAUGGCGCAUCGCAUUCUGACCAAGCCUCAUCAUUUCGCCUCAAGUUGUCUUCACUAGUCUCUGGUCUCUAUUCGAUUCUCUCAGCUCAGCAGGAUGACACAAUGGCUUCUCUGGCAACAACCGAAGUCUACAACUCAAAUGCGUCAGUCAUGACAAGUGGGCGACUUGCGUUGCAUCAAACUGGGGUGUUAAAGAAGUUUGAGGGGCCUCCCUCCGCAAAUUUGCAGCCCACCUACUAUAGAAUGUGACUCAGACAAGAGAAUGAAUGCAUGUAAUUUGAAAGAGAUGACGAGCAUUCUAAUGAGUUACUCAUUAGCCAUGUUUAUGCCCUCCCAGAGUAUUUCUUGCACACAUGGGAAAACAAAUGAACCGAUUGCCACGAUCUCCAUGUCCUAUGUAUCUUUUGAAUGUGGCUUCUGUUUCUUCAACGUAAAGAGGAUUGUUGCAUAGAAGAUGUGUAUCCAUGGGUACGACUAGUACAACUUAGAGUAUGUACUGAUUGCAUUUGCAGGCGAGAUUCAUUGUGAGAAUUAUUUGCUGAGACAAUAGGACCAGAGAACAUUUUUGCUCUAGCCGUAUAUUCGGAAUAUUGGAUGCAAAUUACAUGCA